rnacentral:rRNA from 1 species
CCUACGGUGGCAGCAGUGGGGAAUAUUGCACAAUGGGGGAAACCCUGAUGCAGCGACGCCGCGUGAGUGAAGAAGGAAUUCGUUAUGUAAAGCCCUAUCAGCAGGGAAGAAAAGGACGGUACCUGAGUAAGAAGCCCCGGCUAACUACGUGCCAGCAGCCGCGGUAAUACGUAGGGGGCAAGCGUUAUCCGGAUUUACUGGGUGUAAAGGGAGCGUAGACGGCAGUGCAAGUCUGGAGUGAAAGUCGGGGGCGCAACCCCCGGACUGCUCUGGAAACUGUACGGCUGGAGUGCAGGAGAGGGAAGUGGAAUUCCUAGUGUAGCGGUGAAAUGCGUAGAUAUCACGCAGAACCCCGAUUGCGAAGGCAGCAUACCGGUGCACAACUGACGCUCAGGCACGAAAGCGUGGGUAUCGAACAGGAUUAGAUACCCUUGUAGUC